GCAAUGAUGAAAGCUUGGCAUUGAUCAAAUGAACUGAUUAUGCCAGUUUGUCCUCUAAGAAGUUCUGAGCCU